GACGAACGCUGGCGGCGUGCCUAACACAUGCAAGUCGAACGGAAAACAUAGCAAUAUGUUUUUAGUGGCGAACGGGUGAGUAACGCGUAGACAACCAACCUUUUUGUGGGGGACAACACUUCGAAAGGAGUGCUAAUACCGCAUACGCUCCAGAUGCCGCCUGGUGUUUGGAGGCAAGGAGCUGUAAGGCUUCGAAAAAAGAAGGGUUCGCGUCUGAUUAGCUAGUUGGAGGGGUAACAGCCCACCAAGGGGACGAUCAGUAGCCGGUCUGAGAGGAUGGACGGCCACACUGGGACUGAGACACGGCCCAGACUCCUACGGGAGGCAGCAGUGGGGAAUCUUCCGCAAUGGACGAAAGUCUGACGGAGCGACGCCGCGUGAGUGAUGAAGGCCCUUGGGUCGUAAAGCUCUGUCAUCAGGGACGAACGGUCACGUCAGGAAAUGGGCGUGAAUUGACGGUACCUGAGAAGGAAGCCACGGCUAACUACGUGCCAGCAGCCGCCGUAAUAC
rnacentral:rRNA from 1 species